UCCGUUUUGUCAACGGCAGUCUCUCUAGAGGGCCCGGUGUUUCCACCAGGUUUCCCGUGCAUGUCAAGCCCAGGUAAGGUUCUUCGCGUUGCGUCGAAUUAAACCACAUGCUCCACCGCUUGUGCGGGCCCCCGUCAAUUCUUUUGAGUUUUAGCCUUGCGGCCGUACUCCCCAGGCGGAACACUUAACGCGUUGGCUGCGGCACAGGAGGAUUCGACUCCCCCCACACCUAGUGUUCAUCGUUUACGGCUAGGACUAC
rnacentral:misc_RNA from 1 species